rnacentral:rRNA from 1 species
UACGUAGGGUGCGAGCGUUAAUCGGAAUUACUGGGCGUAAAGUGUGCGCAGGCGGUUUCGCAAGUCAAGUGUGAAAGCCCCGGGCUUAACCUGGGAACUGCGCUUGAAACUACGGAACUCGAGUAUGGCAGAGGAAGGUGGAAUUCCCGGUGUAGCAGUGAAAUGCGUAGAGAUCGGGAGGAACAUCAGUUGCGAAGGCGGCUCUCUGGACCAGCACUGACACUGAGGCACGAAAGCGUGGGGAGCAAACAGG